AUUUAGGCCUCAAAGACUAAACUGGCUGUUCGAGGAACUGAACAUUCAAAAUUAGCGUGCAUUUGCUUAAGUACUGACAUUCGUGCAGCACGGUUGAUGCAUCAGUUCGUUCAGUUUCAAGGCGUUCCUUUGAAGUUUGGAUCUAAUGGAAAUCUUGAGCAGCAUGGAUUUGCAAGGAAUCGGCUUUGGACAAUUGAUGAUAAUCCACCCCCUUUACCAGUAAAUCCUUCAAUUAAAGCUUUUGUUGAUAUUAUCCUGA